UACGAGGUGUGCGAGCGUUGUUCGGAAUCACUGGGCAUAAAGAGUUCGUAGGUGGCUCUGUAAGUUGGUUGUGAAAUCCCUCGGCUCAACCGGGGAAUUGCGGCCACUACUGCAGGGCUUGAGUGCGAAAGGGGCAACUGGAAUUCCAGGUGUAGCGGUGGAAUGCGUAGAUAUCUGGGAGAACGCCAAAGGCGAAGGCAGGUUGCUGGGUCGCAACUGACACUGAGGAACGAAAGCUAGGGGAGCAAACAGG
rnacentral:rRNA from 1 species